AUGUCGCCCUGCCCCCUUCUGUCCUGCUUGGCUGCGCGCCGGGCCCUGAGAGUACAACUUGGCGCACGAACUGCGGGCGCUGCUGCUGUGUGGCCGCCAACUGCUGCGUCUGCUGUGGGCGCUGGCGCUGGCGGCCUCCCCUGGAGGAAAACCAAUUCUGUGUCCACGGAGGACCACAGCCCAGUUCUGCCCCAGGCAAAACAUGGCCUGGAGCUUCCAGGCAGGACAACCAUUCGGCACGCAGACCGCGAGGACAAGGAGGAGCCUCUGCACUCGAUCAUCAGCAGCACAGAGAGCGUGCAGGGUUCUACUUCCAAACAUGAGUUCCAGGCCGACACAAAGAAGCUUUUGGACAUCGUUGCCCCGUCCUUCUACUCAGAAAAAGAGGUGUUUAUACGGGAGCUGAUCUCCAAUACCAGCAAUGCCUUGGAAAAACUGCAUUACAAACUGGUGUCUGACGGCCAAGCCCUGCCAGAAAUGGAGAUUCACUUGCAGACCGAUGCCGAGAAAGGCGCCAUCACCAUCCAGGACACUGGCAUAGGGUUGACACAGGAAGAGCUGGUGUCCAACCUGGGGACGAUCGCCAGAUCGGGGUCAAAGGCCUUCCUGGAUGCUCUGCAGAAUCAGGCUGAGGCCAGCAGCAAGAUCGUCGGCCAGUUUGAAGUGGGCUUCUACUCGGCCUUCAUGGUGGCCGAUAGAGUGGAGGUCUAUUCCCACUCCGAAUCCCCGGGGAGCCCUGGUUACCAGUGGCUUUCAGACGGCUCCGGAGAGUUUGAAAUUCUGGAGGCUUCGGGAGUUAGAACUGGGAAGAAAUGUUCUCACCUAUGCGUGGGAUCCAAAUGAUGAGAAUGCAUGGACACAUGAAGGGGAGCAACACACAUUGGGGCCUUUUGGAGGCCGGGCUGCGGGGAUGGAGAGCAUCAGGAAAAAUAGCUACUGAAUGCUGGGCUUAAUGUCUAGGUGAUGGAACGAUCUGUGCUGCAAACUACCAUGACACUCUUUACCUAAAUAACAACUGCACAUCCUCCACAUGUAACCCUGAACUUAAAAUAAAUGUUGAAG